AACGUAGGGGACAAGCGUUAUCCGGAUUUACUGGGCGUAAAGCGCCCGUAGGCGGUUGGCGAAGUUGGACGUGAAAGCUCCCGGCUUAACUGGGAGAGGCCGUUCAAAACUGGCCGACUGGAGACUGGAAGAGGAGAGCGGAAUUCCCGGUGUAGUGGUGGAAUGCGUAGAUAUCGGGAGGAACACCAGUGGCGAAAGCGGCUCUCUGGUCCAGCUCUGACGCUGAGGGGCGAAAGCGUGGGGAGCGAACGGGAUUAGAAACCCCUGUAGUCC
rnacentral:rRNA from 1 species